UACGGAGGGUGCAAGCGUUGUCCGGAUUUAUUGGGUUUAAAGGGUGCGUAGGCGGCCCUGCAAGUCCGUGGUGAAAGCCUGCUGCUUAACAGCAGAACUGCCAUGGAUACUACAGGGCUUGAGUCCAGACGAGGUUGGCGGAAUAGAAGGUGUAGCGGUGAAAUGCAUAGAUACCUUCUAGAACCCCGAUUGCGUAGGCAGCUGACUAGGCUGGUACUGACGCUGAGGCACGAAAGCGUGGGGAGCAAACAGG
rnacentral:rRNA from 1 species